UUAUCAUUUAAUGAGGAUUGAUUUAGCAGAAGAGUUCUUGAAGACUAUAUUCAUCACCCAAAACUGAAAUUAGACU
rfam:Drosophila ficusphila unplaced genomic scaffold scf7180000454105, whole genome shotgun sequence